rnacentral:rRNA from 1 species
UACGUAGGUGGCGAGCGUUGUCCGGAUUUACUGGGCGUAAAGGGAGCGUAGGCGGACUUUUAAGUGAGAUGUGAAAUACUCGGGCUCAACUUGAGUGCUGCAUUUCAAACUGGAAGUCUAGAGUGCAGGAGAGGAGAAUGGAAUUCCUAGUGUAGCGGUGAAAUGCGUAGAGAUUAGGAAGAACACCAGUGGCGAAGGCGAUUCUCUGGACUGUAACUGACGCUGAGGCUCGAAUGCGUGGGGAGCAAACAGG